AUUAACAACCAUGGCUUCUGCCCUGCUGUGCACCAAGCCCUGUGUUGAGGACUUUUCUGACAGUGCCUCACUUAAUUAUCUGGAGUACUUUAUGAACUCGGUCUGAGUUUCUAUCUCCGUUCCACAAAAAAGGAAACCUGUUGGAGAGAUUGCAUAUUGUGCCCAAGACUGUACAGCUAGUGGGCAGCAGAGCCAGGAUGGAAGCGCUCUGAUUCCAAAGACUUCAUUCUUAGCUUUCCGAGGUCCAGACUUUCUCCAUCUCAGGCCCGGUGGGAAGAUUCCUCCUAUCUGGAGCCACACAGGGCUCCCUUUUCCUAAGACUGGAUCUCCCCGUGAUUUGAAGACAGUUCCUGGAGUUACCUUCCCUCCUGUCUAAAAGACCUAGAGUGGACUUCACCUCCCCCUGCAGCCGGUUGCUAGACGUAUGCUGGCCUGGUGGCCUGAUGCCCUCCCCAACACUCCUUUCCCCCAACAACUUAAAGGGGCAAUGUUUGCUUCGUGGCUCUAGGAUCUGGACUGAAAUCCAUGGCCAGAAACUCUUUCGACUACAGGCCCUUCCAGAGUCUCCGCUAGAGACCGAUGGGGGGUGCACUUGUUUCCACGGUACCCUGGGACCGCGAAUCUGGCAGCAUGGGGAGGGGAAGAGAUGUGCCCUCCCUCUUCAACAUGCAGAACACAGAAGAGAAGCCCACGCUGGAGGCCCCAGGCGUGGAGCUGACAAGACACGACCUGGUCCCCUGGAAACCACGGAUCUACUUUGUGUCUGUACGGAUUUGUCUAUUCUGAACAUUGGAAUCAGACAAGAGAUGGCCUUUUGCGUCUGGCUUCUAUCACCUUGUAUCCAAGGUUCAUCCAUAUUGUAGCAAGGAUCAGUAUUUCAUUCCUUUUUAUUGCUAAAUAACAUUUCGCUGCAUGGAUAUACCGCGUUUUGUUUAUCUACUCAUCAGUUUUACUUCACUCUGCAGUCCUUUCCUGAAGCAGACAAGAUUUCUCUGCCUGCUAGGAAGAUGUAGCCAGCAGACCCAAACUUACACUUUAUGGAUGCUAAACAGAAAGAGACAGCCUUCCCUACUCGAUCUAGCAGAAAAGCCCAGGGCUUUGGUUCAUGCCCACUCCAGAACCAAUCAGCACCUGGAGAAUAUGGUACUCUAAUUGGCCCAGUCUGUGGCACACGCCCAGCCCUGAGGAGUUGGGAAGAGAAGGGUGUUAUGACUGACAGCUGCAGCAAGAUGGCAUAUCAUAGAAGAGUUCCCUAAAGGAAACAGAUACAGGGGGAUGACAAAGUAUGCCAGGCAGAAAAAUCCACAGUUGCCAAAGUCCACUUGAGAAAUCUAAACUCAAAGUAGCAAAGGAUGCACCCGAGAUCCCACAGCACCUGCGUGGCAGAACUGGGAUUCGAAUCCCAAUGGACUCACAACUCAUCACCGCAUCACAGCUGGAUGGGGGAAGCAGGUGUUUUAGGCCAGGACUGCAUGAACAUGGUUAGCCCAGAGACGUCCUGUGGGUGGGAUCUGCUGAGCCUUGAUCUUGGUCCCAAUGCCGAGGGUCAUUGACUGGGAUUCCUACCGGGAUCAAGCCCUGUACACAGCCUGUACCGAAUCCAGGAAGUUGUCUUCUGAUUUCCAUUUCUCAAGCCACAAGUAUGUACAGUAUUUCGCAGUAAAGAGAUCAAAGGGAAGGAGUAUGGCCAUAAUACAAACAGACACGCAGGAUGGAUGAGGAAACAUCCUCUUGAAGAAAAACAUCUCAUUUGGAGACUACAAGUUGCCUUAAAAGUCUGGAGGUAGCAGUCAACAUCCUAGCUGAAAGGCCACUUCUGAUGAGUGAAAACCUUGACCAUGGACCAGACAGGAAGAGUGACAUCAGGAACAAACGUCACAGUGACAACAGUAUGAAGAACAACUUGCCUUCAACUGAGUACUCAGUAUGGACGAACUAUAACUCCUGCAUCAUUUCCUUUAGCCUCCUGCGUGGCCCAGGGCAUCGUCCAGGAACUUCUCCCCGGCCCUGGCUGGGCUGGGACGUCAGAGAGAAGUCAUGAAGGUUAGGGUCUGCAUGGAAUGCACCAGGGUAAAGAUGGGCUUACAGAGGGCUCUCUGGAGAGUCUCAAACAAAGACAAGGAGCAGAGAAAGGGAUUCCCAACAGUGCACAGGGACCAGAUGCGAGGGUGCCUUUGGGCCAAGGGACAGGAACUGAGCCAUUUGAUAAGCAUAUUCCUGUGAGUGUGUUUGGGCCGAACACAGGUACACACACCCAUGCAAACAGUCACAUGCGUGCAUGUGUGUCCGUGCCAACAAUAAACACACUCUUCCCCUCCAGCACAAUCCAAACCCAUGUUGAGGAAGAGAAACAUUUCUCCAAGCACGCUUCAAAUGUACCGAUUACCCUAUGCCUUUUGGGGAUAGCAUUUCCCAUGAUUUUUUAGAAUAUUGUUGGUUCCUCAUCGUUCUUUCUCCCACUUUCAGAUGAAACCUAAGCAUCCAUGUCUCAAAUGCCAGGGACAGAGCUCCCAAAGGACACCCUUUGGUUCGAAAAAAAGCCAUAAAAAGCUUUGUUAUUUGUAUCCUUUUCUUUACUUUGGGGGCAGAUCAAAUUCCAGCAGGUAAAUCCUAGGGAUUUUGCAGGGGGGUGAGGUUGGUUAAAAAAAGAUAAGGGUGGAAAUAAUUUUGGCCCCAUUGUGAGAUAUUUUUAAUCAGCCUUCAUUUGAUAGGUAAUGAGCUGUUUGUGAGUGAGAUGGGGGAAGGGCAGGGAGGGUUGUAUCCAUAUAAGUCAGGAGGACAGAAACCUGUGGCCUUUGACCAAUUCAAAGGCUCUAUGGAGGAGGGGUCAACACCUCCCAGAUCAUCUUUCAGACACCUCCACCUGCUCCCCCCAAGAUAUUGUGUGCUUUCAUGUGCAUUGCUUGAGUUUCCGUAAAGAUGUUUCCUUUUUCCAGCCUUA